CAGAAACAGGAAGAUCUGCACCUUUGAGUCCAACCUGAUCUACAGAGCGAGUUCUGGGACAGCCGGGGCCGCACAGAGAAACUCCCAUCUUGAUGGAGAAGACCCGGCUGAAGAGAUGGCUCUGUGGUUAAGCGCACAGGCUGUUCUCACAGAAGACUGGAGUUCAGUUGCCUGUGCUGGCCUGGUCUGUGCUUUGUAUUUGCUUGUUGAUUAUUUGGCCCCCUGAGGUCUGCUUGCGGUGUCUUAGGAGCAGCUGCUUGCUCAUGCAUCCCAAAAUGAUGUUUGUAAUCCUCGCCUCCAAAUUAUCACUGAUGGAGUGAAUAGGUGCCUACACACCUGAGCAGGACAGAAAUAAGGCAUGUAAACAGAGAGAGAGUCCUAAUGCCAAAUGUGAUGCCCUUGCCUGUGACUCUUGGGCUCUUGAUCACGUGAGCUCAGGGUUGAGAAGAGAAUAUCCUGAAAAACUUGACUCUGAAAAACUCAAGAAAGAGUAUCUAUAUUGUCAGCGCUGACUGAGGCAGGAGGACUGGAAGUCAAAAACCUGCCUGAGCUAUGUAGCUGGGUGUUGAAUUAAAUGACAUAUACAGCUGAGUUAUUCUGCCCGAUGGGUGCUGCAUCCCUUUAGUUCCAGCACCUGGGAGCGAGAGGCAGGGGGAUCUCUGGGAGUUCGAGGCCAGCCUGGUCUACAGAGCAAGUUCCAGGACAGCCAAGGCUACAUAGAGAAACCCUGUCUUGAAAAACCAAAAUCAACCAAACAAAAACAAAACAAAACUCUCAUCCCGAAACCUGAGUUAUCCUGGCAGAUGUCACCCUUUCCCGAGAAGUGCUGACGCUGACACAGAACCCAGGAGGAAUCUGAAGCUGUGUGUCUCGGGGUGUGGUCAUGGCAACCAGUUCCUGAAAGUCUGGCUUUUGAUUUUCCUCCUCUCAGAGUCACGGUUUGCUCAUCUCUGUUCUUCCACAAACAACGUUCCAUUCACAACAGUUACACGCCUGGCUGGUGGCUAGCCAUGGUUUCCUGGUUUGUCACUCGGACCCAUACAGCUCUCUCUCAUUGAAGAUGUCCUUCUGACCUUUAAGCUUUGGCUUGGUGCAGCUCACUCCCCACACUGUUCUGGAGGACACUGCCCUGCCUCCUCUCCUUCCAGGUGGAUCCUCUAGCAGAACGUGUGCUCUGUGUGUGCCCAUCCUGCCUGGCACACCGUGGCUAUUUAUUACAUGCUGUGUGAUGAGCAAGAGGAGCGAGUGCUUCCUAAACAACCCUGGCCACAUUCCAGCACUUUCUGACUAUUGUCUCAUGCCGCCCUGGGUGAGCUGGUUCUUGGGUAUUGAGACAAUGAAGAAACAGGACGUGACCUAUUGGGCAAGAUGAGGACCAAGGUGUGGAUGGGCACCCUGGACUCCCAGGCAGCUGCUCUGUGAAGUCCAAACUUAACCAGGAUCUCCAAAGCCGGAGUCCUUCUUGGUCUUAUCUGUGUUUCCAUCUAUGAGCGUCUCCCAGCCAUGCCCAGGGGUCCCCAUGCUGAGCAUGUCUGCUUGCUGAUGAAGGCUUUCAGAACAGGAGGUACAUACUUCCUGGAUGAACUGACCAGAUCUGACCUUGACAAGCAUAAGGGUUACACAACCAGCAGUGCUAUGACAAUUAUGUUAAGUGUGUUUGAAUGCCUACAAAUCCCCCUACGUUUCUUCUUGGGAAACAAGGCCACUAGCUGGAGCUUCUGGGUUAGAUUUCUAGAAUGGCCUCUGCUGAUUGGAAAGGCUUCUCAGAUGAUGGUCUUGGUGCUGUCUUGACCUAACCAUCUUACAGAAUUUUGAGAAUUUAUUUAUUUAUCGUGUGUAUGGGUGUUUUGCCUGCAUGGGUGUGUACCCGGUGCCCAUAUUGUUCAGAAGAGGAAUUCCCUGGAAUUGGUGUUGGGACCUGAACCCAGGUCCUCUGCGAGAGGAACACACAUUCUCAACUGCUGGACCAUCUCUCCCAUCCCCAUUUGACGUAUUUGAUUAAAUGGUAGCUAUUACGAGGUAGGGGAAAGAAUGACUAGGACUCCCUUCAUCUGACACAAGCCCUCCUGGGGCCCUGUCCCUAGGGUCUUAAGGAACAAAGUAGCUGCACAUAUGGUCAUCUGUCUGGGAAGCCCAUAGUGGUACCCAAGCCUGUGGCUGUUGCUGGGCCCUGGGCCUGGAGACACAGGAAAGUGCAGGACAGGGAGCUUGCCUUCUGUGAGACCUGUGGCCUUGGGUGCUUUGAGCCUCUGCUUUCCCCUCUAUGAAGUCUUGGCUAACAGCAGAACCUAGCUUAUCUAUUCAUAGGCUGUUAUUAAAACUAAAAGAGAGAGAGUGUGUGUGAAAGCUGUAGUCGCAUACAAAAAUAGCACAAUGUUAUAGUUAAUGAUGCUGUAAGAAAAACAUUAUUUUUAGCUGAUGUACCACUUCAAGUCGCCUGCCCUGAUGCCUGUGGUUCUUGGCUCAUGGUGCUUCGGCUCCAGUAGGACACUCUUAGCCUUUCUACUGACAGCAUAGUCAUAUGUUUUCAGGCUGGGUGACCACAAUGGGCAGUGGUACAUGAGCCGCUGGACAAGGCACUCCAAGAAAUUGUGUGUGGCUAUCUGGAUGAAACCUGCCUUCUAUUUCUGUUGUUUUCUGAGACAAGGUGCCAAUACAGAGCCCAGCCUGACCUGCCUCUGCCCCCUGAGGGCCAGAGUAAAGGCCAGGCAAGAGAUAGGACCUCAGCCAACAUGGUACUAGGGCUGAACUCGGACCUCAGCCAGUGUGGUACCAGGGUGAGAAAUUACCUCUGUAAUUUCUUCCCGGCUUAGCUGGUUUCCUGGGCUGGGAUCUGAGAUGACCCUGGACUGAGGAAUUUCUAUGGAUUUUGAGAGUAAAUACUCUGGGGGGGGGGGGGGACACAAGACCACUGAAGGAAGGUGGGCACUGCCUAGAAGGAGGGAUUCCGGCUGAGGCCUCGAAGCUUGUGAGAAUACAGAGGAACCUAUUGUUUCAUUCCUCAGUCUGGAACUACACUUAACUACUGACCACAGCUGAACUGUGACCAAUUCUCAGAUCAACGGCAGAUGCUGGAGCAAGGGAAAUAAUGCAUUUUGUCUGGAGUAAGUAAGGUUAUAUAAACCUGCCUUCCUCCUCAAGUGUCUCCUAGGAAGACAGCAGGGUGAUUCAUGUGGUAACCUGGCUGACGCUGGGCCUGUCAGAUCAUCUAAGAACCUAAACCAAGAAUGUUCCACACAGAGUCCCGAACACAGGGAGCUCUGCUCUGGAAGUGACAGGGUGCUGUCAAGUCACUGGAGGGUACCUCUUUAAGAAUUAGGGAGAAGAUCAAGAAGAUCGGGGUGGGGGGAAGCAGAAUAAAUCAUUUCCA